rnacentral:rRNA from 1 species
AUUGAACGCUGGCGGAAUGCUUUACACAUGCAAGUCGAACGGCAGAACGGGGCAACCUGGUGGCGAGUGGCGAACGGGUGAGUAAUACAUCGGAACGUGCCCACUCGUGGGGGAUAACGUAGCGAAAGUUACGCUAAUACCGCAUAAGAUCUACGGAUGAAAGCGGGGGAUCGCAAGACCGCGCGAGAAUGGAGCGGCCGAUGUCAGAUUAGGUAGUUGGUGGGGGAAAGGCUCACCAAGCCAACGAUCUGUAGCUGGUCUGAGAGGACGACCAGCCACACUGGGACUGAGACACGGCCCAGACUCCUACGGGAGGCAGCAGUGGGGAAUUUUGGACAAUGGGCGCAAGCCUGAUCCAGCCAUUCCGCGUGCAGGAUGAAGGCCUUCGGGUUGUAAACUGCUUUUGUACGGAACGAAAAGGUUUGGCCUAAUACGCUGAACUCAUGACGGUACCGUAAGAAUAAGCACCGGCUAACUACGUGCCAGCCGCCGCCGUAAGAC